AUUGAACGCUGGCGGCAGGCCUAACACAUGCAAGUCGAGCGAGCGGCGGACGGGUGAGUAUAGUAUGGGGGCUGCCCGAUAUAGGGGGAUAACUACUGGAAACAGUGUCUAAUACCCCAUACUAUCGCAUUACCCAUAUGGGAUUAGCUAGUAGGUAAGGUAAUGGCUUACCUAGGCGACGAUCUCUAGCUGGUCUGAGAGGAUGAGCAGCCACACUGGGACUGAGACACGGCCCAGACUCCUACGGAGGCAGCAGUGGGGAAUAUUGCACAAUGGGCGCAAGCCUGAUGCAGCCAUGCCGCGUGUAUGAAGAAGGCCCUAGGGUUGUAAAGUACUUUCAGUCGGGAGGCGUUACCGACAGAAGAAGCACCGGCUAACUCCGUGCCAGCAGCCGCGGUAAUUC
rnacentral:rRNA from 1 species